GCAUAUCAAUAAGCGGAGGAAAAGAAACCAACAGGGAUUACCUCAGUAACGGCGAGUGAAGCGGUAACAGCUCAAAUUUGAAAUCUGGCUUCGGUCCGAGUUGUAAUUUGUAGAAGAUGCUUUGGGUGUGGCUCCGGUCUAAGUUCCUUGGAACAGGACGUCAUAGAGGGUGAGAAUCCCGUACGUGACUGGCCGCCUUCGCCCGUGUAAAGCUCUUUCGACGAGUCGAGUUGUUUGGGAAUGCAGCUCAAAAUGGGUGGUAUAUUUCAUCUAAAGCUAAAUAUUGGCCAGAGACCGAUAGCGCACAAGUAGAGUGAUCGAAAGAUGAAAAGCACUUUGGAAAGAGAGUUAAACAGUACGUGAAAUUGUUGAAAGGGAAGCGCUUGCAACCAGACUUGCAGGCUGUUGAUCAUCCGGGGUUCUCCCCGGUGCACUCGGCAGUUUUCAGGCCAGCAUCGGUUUGGGUGGUGGGAUAAAGGCCUUAGGAAUGUAGCUUCUCUCGGGGAGUGUUAUAGCCUAAGGUGCAAUGCCGCCUACCUGGACCGAGGACCGCGCUUCGGCUAGGAUGCUGGCGUAAUGGUUGUAAGCGACCCGUCUUGAAACACGGACCAAGGAGUCUAACAUCUAUGCGAGUGUUUGGGUGUCAAACCCAUGCGCGUAAUUAACGUGAACGGAGGUAAGAACCCUUAAGGGUGCAUUAUCGACCGAUCCUGAUGUCUUCGGAUGGAUUUGAGUAAGAGCAUAGCUGUUGGGACCCGAAAGAUGGUGAACUAUGCCUGAAUAGGGUGAAGCCAGAGGAAACUCUGGUGGAGGCUCGCAGCGGUUCUGACGUGCAAAUCGAUCGUCAAAUUUGGGUAUAGGGGGCGAAAGACUAAUCGAACCAUCUAGUAGCUGGUUCCUGCCGAAG
rnacentral:rRNA from 1 species